GUUCCUUUCACACUGUCAGCUCCUGGAAUUAAGGUGUCUUUUACCCUACAGCUCAGGAAAAUCUGACACUUUUCACAUCGGUGGGUUUGUGAUCUCCGCGUGACAUCCGCGAUAAGCACUGGAAAUUCAAAAUGAGGUGGCGUUGUAAUCUCCGCUGGACGCUGACGUCAACCAUUGGAGCACAAGGCACGAAUCUGCUGCACCACCAGCUUUGCGACCCAUCUGCUUUGCAACAACCCAUCUCUGAAAGUCGUGUUCUACCACGGAGGAAGACCACGUAGGGAUGCCUGAUUGGCUCGAUCGGAGCUAAGCAAAUCGCCAGCUGAAAGCCAGAGUCAUUUUUAGACGAGAGAUGUCCUGCUGGGCUGGUAAUGGAUCAGUCGAUAAAGAAGUAUUUUCGUUUUUGUUUUAUUUUAUUGGAUGUGUUGUUUACUGCCUUCUAACCUUAUUUUGUCUCGUUUGAUUUCUUUGCAUUUUCCCCUGAAUGAAGUAGUUGCUGCUCGUGAUGUGUGGCAUCUCCAAAGUCGACUGUUAGGUUUCGUGGUACUCGGUUGGAAUACCUUGAGACUGUUCAGGUGAUUCUCAGGGUAGAGAUUGAUUUCUAGGGCGCUGAAUUAACGCACCUAGGGUUUUGAGCGACGAGUUUAUGCACGCUCACAGUAAAGUUGGUAUUCCAGCAGAAAUCCGGAAGGCUCAUGGUGGCUGGCAUGUGACUUUGUGUUUACGAAGUUUGAGUGGUAGAUGUUGUCUGCUCAGCCUGAAUGGCAUGUGGGUCAUAAGGAAACUGGCCUGAUUUAAAAGCUGUGGUUCACUGCGGCUGUUUGUCGUUGGCCAUCGCAAAAGCAUGCUUUCAACGGUCAAGCACUCACUUACUAACAGUGUUCAACAUUUAUUUUGCAAGUUAGGGUAAUCCGUUCCGUAGUAUACAUCCUUUCGGUCUUUAACCCUGAGGGACAUUGGAUGUUCAACCAUACGAUCAUCAAAGAAAAAUGUGCAAUAGAAGGUCAUCGUUGUCGUUAAUCGUUUUGUUUCAUUUGUUCAAGUGAACCUUUAUGGAAAGCACCACAUAGCCCCCACCUGGCUGAAGUAAUGGCUUUGUGGGAAGAUCGAGAGGGUAACCAGGUGCAAUAUCAUCAUGGGGUCAUUGUCAAAACCUCGUCACUGUUUCGGGAGCACUGAAACUGUGGACUAAUGCCCUUUACAUACGUGUCAAAACAGUUUUAAUUAGUGCGCUCGUGAGCUUGUGUAUUUGUUCAUUAUCAGUGUCUUACGUACACGUUAUGCUCGACAUGCAUUGCAUUCCUGAAAGGUUUUACAGACAAACCGGCUAACUGGAUCCAUGUGACGCACACAAGCCAGCUUUACUUCAAGCCUACGAGGCUGUUCAUGAUCAUCAACACCAUGUCUAGAGCUGGUUUGUGGCGGACAUCGCCAAGCCGUGGGUUUGAAAGGUGGAGCUGAGAGGAGCUUUAAACUGGUUCGUUGUCUGAUCGAUGUCUACGUUUGUCAACCUCUGAUCAGACUGUUGAGUCUGUUGCGAAGUUGUUUGAAGAUUGUCAUGUUGCCUCUUACUACCUGGAACACUUUUUACCCACGUAUGUUCACCUUAGAAUUGGACUUUGAUUUUUUCACGAUUUGUGACGCGGGCAUGUACUGCAAUUGAAUUGAAAUCGACGAGAUCGACGUUGCCAUAUCUUCUCUUUUCUUAAAAUAAAUGAAAAAAUAAAUCAAACAGUAGAUUCCUAUGUUCGCACCCGUUUGCAGAGAGGUAUGUUUCAACGUUUUGACUUGAUUAAGUGUGUCUUAUCUCACUAACCUCUGCGAGCGGUUACCCUAGCAAUUUUCUAAGACGUUGACGUGAAGUGAUAACUAACCCUGAUUGACGUGAGCGUUUUUCUGGGUUUAUCUCUGGCAACGGCAUCCUAUUGCUCUGACGCUUGAGUUGUCGACAAAUAUGCAGCAUUGGUAUAUGAACUCAGGGAUCACUAUUAACCCCUAAACCUUGUCGUUGCGUGUUUCCGUCCAUGUACUGAAUGUGUUAACAAUCUUAGUGCUUGAUAAUAGUGGUUGACAACGUACAAGGGGGAAUCUCAUUUUGGAUCGUUUAGUCUAUCAUCUACAUCUAUUUGUGAUAAAACUACACAUAAUGCAAAUUUUGGUAUAUUUGUAUCUGUAAAAAUAACUUAAUAAUUUUUUGACAGCAUAGAUUAAAAGUAAAUUUGAAAAUAGUUUUAAACCUUUGAUACGUUGUUUUUAUAUCUUUACAAUGUUGUAAUUUGUUUUUGUAAGUGGAUUGUAUUAAUCAAACAAGAACUUAAGAUGGUUAUUUGACAAAUAUUUUAUUUUAGUUGGUAAAUGCUAAAAUCGAUUAUACAUCAUACAUAGAUUUUAGAAAUGUUCAAUCUAUAGUAAAUUGUACCUUUUCAAAAUCCAUUUUACUAACUGACAUUUGAAAUA